CCAACAAAUUGCAAUUGCCAUUUUUAUAUCAAUUGUCAUCGCGGUGAGUUUUGUCAAUUGUGCGCACGUGCAACGGCAUUGUACAUACAAACAUACAUAGUGCACAUGCGCAUAAUAUGAGCAAAGGGUUGUUUAGUUGGCAAUCUCAGGUCUUUAUAGACAUUCGAAUUCAAUGCCAGGUUGUAUGGAAAUAGUCACGUAUGCAUUUCUUAAAUGUUAUGAAAUGGGAUUGGCUUAAAAUGCAAGCGAAACCGUAGACUAUUUAUUUUUAUUACUUCCUGGCACUAUAGGUUUAAGUGUUUUUAUAGAUAAGUUAUACAUACCAACAAUAUGUGUAGUGCAACACAUAUGUUUUAGAUCAGUCCCUGCCAGCCACGGCUCACUACUUUCCCCUAAAAUUCAAACGAUUUACAAACACAUUCACAACUUUUUAGUCAUCACACCCACACACUUACAAAUUUUUUGUUCGAACUGUCAAAAAAAUGUCCCUUUGUUAGAGCUACAUACCCGAUAAGAAUUCGUACUCUAAUAAGAAUUCUAUGCGUUAGACCGAGCAUGUUAGAAACAUCGGAGUUUUGAUGACAGUAUACAUACUGUGAAGAAAUGUCACUUUGCGAAAAUUUUGAAGAUUGCAAAACAGUAGCGACUUAGUCACAUUCUUAAGAUUUGGGAUUCACCAUCAGCACCUUCAACGCUUGCAUCUUCAUCGCCAAGAGCACCAUUAGAACCUUCCGCCCUCAGCUUCUUCAUCGCCAGGAGCACCACCAGUACCUUCUACCCUCAGCUCCUUCAUCGCCAGGAGCACCAUGGGUACCUUCCGCCCUCAGCACCUUCAACGCCAGGUGCACCUUCAAAGUGUAGGUCCAACUUGUCAAAUUUUGC